CCUUUUUCUUGCUUUAUCCCCAAGUAGUAGGUUGGGACAGAGCUAGUAUCGGGUUAGCCCCUUCUCCUUCGUUCAAAACCUAAAUAUUAUCUUUCUGCCAAAUCUUCUUCUUCUUUAUCAUUCAAAAAUUCUUCUUCUCCCUAAAUAUACUUCACCCAAGUUCAAAUAAAACCUCAUAUUUUCCAACUGCCAUCGUCUACGGUUAAGCUCGGCAGCAACAUACAGUGGUACAAGGCGGUGGUGAUAGCAACGACCCGAGUGAUAGAAUAAGAGAAUUGAUGAUAAGGUUCAUCGCUUGAGGCUUUUUGGGGAUUACCAUCAUUUAACUUGAAUUACAUUUGUUGAAUUUGCACUGGAUGGCAAUAUAUGCUAACACAUGACCUUCAAGUUCAAGAUGCAUUAAAUUAUGCCAUCAAGACAAUCCAGCAAAAAUCUAAUUCAUUGCUAUCCUAUGUACUUCAUGAGGUUGUUGAUGCAAAGGCUGAGGUUAAUGCCUAGUUCUCUUGUUUAACUCUCACUCCUUUUUCCUUCUUUCUUAAUCGCCUCAAUUCUAAUAAUCCAUUAUUUCCCUCACAUCACUUCUUCUAUAAUUAUUAUCAUUUCCUAAAGGAAACUUUCUUUAUAAUGUUUUUGGUUUGGAUAGUAUUCUCAUUACUAAUAUGGCAUCAGAGUUAACUGUUAGCAAUUGUGGGUGUGUACUUUCCAAAUAUAGAUGCUCCAUUCUUCUUGAUCAUGUGCAAAUGUUGAUUUGUACUCAAAGUUAGUUACACGGAUUUUACGAAAAUCCAGUGGUAAGUUUAUAUAUAUUUUUUUUAAAAAUUAUUAUACAUUAAAUAAUUAACUCUACACUAGUAGUUUGAUUGUCUUUUAAUUGUUUUUGAGAUAGAUGAAGUUGUGCAUGAUAUUUUUGGAUAUAAGGGAAUCACUUAUGAGUUUAAACUUCUUGAAGAUGUUGAAAAUUGAAAGGUUUGAUUACAACUUCACAUGAACAUGCUUUUAGCUUUUGUUUGCUUCCGAAAAACAUUAGUGUUUAAGAUUCAUACAUUUUACAUAAUGUUACAGUACAUGUAAAUGUGUAACGUAUAUGUUUAGUAUUUCCUAAGGUUUUUUGGAAAGCUUGGAGAGUAUGAAUUUGUCGACAUUUGUAGGUCACAAUUGUAUGUCUCAUGGUUGAACAAACAACAUGAAAUUCAUUCAAAUGUUUGUGCGGGUCUUCUCUUGCUAAUCCAUAAAAUUUGGGCAAAAAGGUGGAUUAACUCAUUUUAGCUCACUUUCUUCAUAUGGGCAUUGGAUGCACAUGGUUGGGGUAGUCACAUUUGGUGCAACUAACUGUCUUAAGGUCUUUUCUGCCAUGUUGUUUAUUUCAAUUACAGAUUCGGAUAAAGGAUCAAAAGAUAUGUUUAUCACUGUAGGUGGUAUAGUUUCAAUGCUGGCUUUAGAUGAUGAAGAUGCUCCCUCAGUAGAACACCCAAAUGGAAAUCUCCUACACAAUUUAUGCAAGUUCCUUUCAACCUUUAGGUCAAUUUGAUGGAAUUCAUCUGGGAUGGCUCAAGUCAUGCAUUACGCAGUUCACUAAAAAUUUUCUCUGAUUUUGUUUGUUUUCUUAUUCUUAUUCUUUCUUUAGAGAAAGGUUUUUAAAAGAAAUAAGUUAAGAUGUCGUUAGGUUCACUCUCAGAAAAGAUAGGUGUGUCACAAUGGAUAACUUAAAUACCAAGUUUUUCCUAACCAGAGUAUUCCCCAACUAGUCUAAAAAACUCCUCAAAAGAAAUUCUUAAUCAAAACAAAAACAUAAAUCUU